CGGAUGCCUUACCAUGCAGUCGAGCGGCAGCGCGGUCUUCGUACUGGCGGCUGAGCGGCGAACGGGUGAGUAAUACAUCGGAACGUGCCCGGUCGUGGGGGAUAACACUUCUAAAGAAAUGCUAAUACCGCAUACGUCCUGAGGGAGAAAGCGGGGGAUCUCCGGAUCUCGCGCUAUUGGAGUGGCCUAUGUCAGAUUAUCUAGGUGGUAGGGGUAGAGCGCCUACCGGGGCACACAUAUCUGUCUCGUGGGUCUGAGAAGAAGAACACCCACUACUGGGCAGUAGACACACGGCCCAAACUCCUACGGGAGGCAGCAGUGGGGAAUUUUGGACUAGGGGGGCAACCCUGAUCCAGCCGUUCCGCGUGAGUGAAGAAGGGCUUCGGGUUGUAAAGCUCUUUCGGCAGGAAAGAAACGGCGAGCUCUAACAUAUCUCGCUAAUGACGGUACCUGAAGAAGAAGCACCCGCUAACUACGUGCCCGCACCCGCGGUUAUACAUAGGGUGCGAGCGUUUAUCAGAAUUACUGGGCGUAAAGCGUGCGCGCGCGGUUGUGUAAGACAUGUGUGAAAUCCCCGGUCUUCACCUGGGAACUGCGCUUGAGACUGCACGGCUAGAGUAUGGCAGAGGGGGGUGGAAUUCCGCGUGUAGCUGUGAUGUGCAUAGAGAUGUAGAAGGACACCGAUGGAGAACGCAGCCCCCUGGGCCCAUACUGACUCUCGUGCGCGAGAGCGUGGGGAGCACACGAGAUUAUAUACUCUGGUAGUACACGCCCUACAAUAUGUCCACUACGUGUUCGGUGAGGAGACUCAUGGAGUAACGCAGCUAACACGUGAAGUCGACCGCGUGGGGAGUACCGUAGCAAGAUUACAAAUCAAAGGAAUUGGCGGGGACCCGCACAAGCGGUGGAUGAUGUGGAUUAAUUCGAUGCGACGCGAACAACCUUACCUACCCAUGUCAUGUACGGAACCCAGAUGAGAGGUGGUGCUGCUGGAAAGAGAGCCACAACACAGGUGCGGCAGGGCUGUCGUCAGCUCGUGUCGUGAGAUGUUGGGUCAAGUCCCGCGCCGAGCGCAACCCUUGUCAUUAGAGGGUACGCAAGAGCACUCUAAUGAGACUGCCGGUGACAAACCGGAGGAAGGUGGGGAGGACGUCAAGUCCUCAUGGCCCCUAUGGGUAGGGCUUCACACGUCAUACAAUGGUCGGUACAGAGGGUGGCCAAGCCGCGAGGGGGAGCCAAUCCCAGAAAGCCGAUCGCAGUCCGGAUCGCAGUCUGCAACUCGAGUGCGUGAAGUCGGAAUCGCUAGUAAUCGCGGAUCAGCAUGCCGCGGUGAAUACGUUCCCGGGUCUUGUACACACCGCCCGUCACACCAUGGGAGUGGGUUCACCAGAAGAGGCUAGCCUAACCGUAAGGAGGGCGCU
rnacentral:rRNA from 1 species